GAUGAACGCUGGCGGCGUGCUUAACACAUGCAAGUCGAACGAUUGAAGCUGGAGCUUGCUCCGGCCGAUUUAGUGGCGGGCGGGUGAGUAACGCGUGAGUAACCUGCCUCAUACAGGGGGAUAGCAGUUGGAAACGACUGGUAAAACCGCAUAAGCGCACGGUGUCGCAUGACACAGUGUGAAAACACUCCGGUGGUAUGAGAUGGACCCGCGUCUGAUUAGCUAGUUGGUGAGGUAACGGCCCACCAAGGCGACGAUCAGUAGCCGGCCUGAGAGGUGAACGGCCACAUUGGGACUGAGACACGGCCCAAAAUCCUACGGGAGGCAGCAGUGGGGAAUAUUGCACAAUGGGGGAAACCCUGAUGCAGCGAACGCC
rnacentral:rRNA from 1 species